CGGUGGAGUAUGUGGUUUAAUUCGAUGCAACGCGAAGAACCUACCUGGUCUUGACAUCCCGGAGACCCUUAGGAAACUAGGGGUGCUUCCAUCUGGAAGAAUCUGGAGACAGGUGCUGCAUGGCUGUCGUCAGCUCGUGUCGUGAGAUGUUGGGUUAAGUCCCGCAACGAGCGCAACCCUUGCCUCUAGUUGCCAGCAGUUCGGCUGGGCACUCUAAAGGGACUGCCGGUGUUAAACCGGAGGAAGGUGGGGAUGACGUCAAGUCCUCAUGGCCUUUAUGACCAGGGCUACACACGUACUACAAUGGCCGAUACAAAGGGCAGCGACACUGCGAGGUGAAGCCAAUCCCGUAAAAUCGGUCUCAGUCCGGAUUGGAGUCUGCAACUCGACUCCAUGAAGUUGGAAUCGCUAGUAAUCGUGGAUCAGCAUGCCACGGUGAAUACGUUCCCGGGCCUU
rnacentral:rRNA from 1 species